rnacentral:lncRNA from 1 species
CUUUAUCUGAUAUGUCCCAUCUUGAAGGUUUCUUUGGUUUGCUCACACUGUUACCCUCUUGUUUUCUUUCAUUUGUUUCUUGUGUUCCAGAUGUAGUAGGCUCUGACAGAGUUAAGAAAUUAAAUACAGAAUACUUGUCUCUCUUCACUUUUGGUAAACCAACGAUGGAAGACUCGGGAUAUGGAUCAGGAACAUUAAAUCUUUUGCACAACAGCUUUUCAGGGUGCCAUUCAAACUUGUCUCUUGUGAGUUUGCCAAACAUCUUCAUCUUCACAGCAGAUUCCUUAUCAUCAAUAUCAUUCUCCUGGUCCCGAGGAACUUCAACUUUGUC